UUUUUUUUUUGGUUCAUAAGUGUGAUUAUUGGGUCUGCUGCCAUGUGGGACAUGAGACUCCAGCAAAACCAAACUUCGUUAUGUUGUUGGCACGUGACCAUCUGACG